rnacentral:rRNA from 1 species
CCUGCGGAAGGAUCAUUACGGGGCUGAGGCUUAGGGGCGAGCUCGCACCCUUUGUGAACAUACCUCUGUUGCUUUGGCGGCUCUCUGCCGCGAGGAGAGGCCCCUCAAAAGGCCGCCCCCCCGCGCGCUUUCCGCCAGAGGACCUUCAAACUCCAGUCAGUAAACGUCGACCUCUGAUAAACAAGUUAAUAAACUAAAACUUUCAACAACGGAUCUCUUGGUUCUGGCAUCGAUAAAGAACGCAGCGAAAUGCGAUAAGUAAUGUGAAUUGCAGAAUUCAGUGAAUCAUCGAAUCUUUGAACGCACAUUGCGCCCCUUGGCAUUCCGAGGGGCAUGCCUGUUCGAGCGUCAUUACAACCCUCAAGCUCUGCUUGGUAUUGGGCGCCGUCCUCUCUGCGGACGCGCCUCGAAGACCUCGGCGGUGGCUGUUCAGCCCUCAGCGUAGUAGAAUACACCUCGCUUUGGAGCGGUUGGCGUCGCCCGCCGGACGAACCUUCUGAACUUUUCUCAAGGUGACCUCGGAUCAGGUAGGGAUACCCGCUGAACUUAAGCAUAUCAUA